rnacentral:rRNA from 1 species
AUGCUAUAGUGGCGUACGGGUGCGUAACGCGUAAGGAACCUGCCCGCUGCUGGGGGAUAGCCCGCCGAAAGGUGGAUUAAUCCCGCAUAGUCCCUUUGGGUGGCAUCACCUGAAGGGUAAAGAUUUAUUGGCAGCGGAUGGUCUUGCGUCUGAUUAGCUAGUUGGCGGGGUAAGAGCCCACCAAGGCGAUGAUCAGUAGGGGCUCUGAGAGGAGCGGCCCCCACACUGGCACUGAGAUACGGGCCAG